AAUCAACGCUGGCGGCGUGCCUCAGACAUGCAAGUCGAACGAUUAAGACUUCCUUCGGGAAGUGCAUAAAGUGGCGCACGGGUGAGUAACACGUAAGUAAUCUACCCUCGAGUGGGGAAUAACGUUCGGAAACGAACGCUAAUACCGCAUAAUGCAGCGGCAUCGCAAGAUGACAGUUGUUAAAGGAGUAAUUCGCUUGAGGAGGAGCUUGCGGCAGAUUAGCUAGUUGGUAAGGUAACGGCUUACCAAGGCUACGAUCUGUAUCCGGUCUAAGAGGACGGUCGGACACACUGACACUGAAUAACGGGUCAGACUCCUACGGGAGGCAGCAGUCGGGAAUUUUGGGCAAUGGGGGAAACCCUGACCCAGCAACGCCGCGUGAAGGAUGAAGUAUUUCGGUAUGUAAACUUCGAAAGAAUGGGAAGAAUAAAUGACGGUACCAUUUAUAAGCUCCGGCUAACUACGUGCCAGCAGCCGCGGUAAGAC
rnacentral:rRNA from 1 species